AAUCCCUGCCCUCAAGGAGCUUACGGUCCAGUGGUAAAACCAGGAAGGGGAAGGAGGGGUCAGCACUCACUGUCUAGACUGUAAGCUCCUUGUGGGCAGGGAGC
rnacentral:pre_miRNA from 1 species